rnacentral:misc_RNA from 1 species
GAUGAAGAACGCAGCAAAAUGCGAUAAGUAAUGUGAAUUGCAGAAUUCAGUGAAUCAUCGAAUCUUUGAACGCACAUUGCGCCCGCUGGUAUUCCGGCGGGCAUGCCUGUUCGAGCGACAUUUCAACCCUCAAGCCCCCGGGUUUGGUGUUGGGGAUCGGCUCUGCCCUUCUGGGCGGUGCCGCCCCCGAAAUACAUUGGCGGUCUCGCUGCAGCCUCCAUUGCGUAGUAGCUAACACCUCGCAACUGGAACGCGGCGCGGCCAUGCCGUAAAACCCCAACUUCUGAAUGUUGACCUCGGAUCAGGUAGGAAUACCCGCUGAACUUAAGCAUAUCAAUAAGCGGAGGA